rnacentral:rRNA from 1 species
UACGUAGGGUGCAAGCGUUAAUCGGAAUUACUGGGCGUAAAGCGUGCGCAGGCGGUUUCGUAAGUCUGUCGUGAAAUCCCCGGGCUUAACCUGGGAAUGGCGAUGGAGACUGCGAGGCUAGAGUAUCGGAGAGGUUGGUGGAAUUCUCGGUGUAGAGGUGAAAUUCGUAGAUAUCGAGAGGAACACCGGUGGCGAAGGCGGCCAACUGGACGAAUACUGACGCUGAGGUGCGAAAGCGUGGGGAGCAAACAGGAUUAGAAACCCU